AGCGGUUACACUUUAGGGUCUGUAUUUACUACUUGUUUUGUGGGAGUAGCUAUGCCCUUGCAAGAUAUUCACAACUAUACUGAACUUGCUGCUUAUAAGAUGAAGUUGAAGGCCCAGCAGCUGGCUAGGUUUGGCUCUGUCUCAAAUCCUAAGCCCUAUACAAAUCAGCAUCGUCUUCAGAUUAGGCUAAUGGCUGUGUCCUCAAAUGCUACUUCCUGUUUCACUAUUGUAGGGGCACGGAAGGUUGAUACUAAUUUGACCAACCAUGACAUGAAUUGCUCUGUUUCCCCAACUCCAACUUCUUAUUUUGAUGCACACUUAUACCUUCCCCGUGGGUGGUUUUUGCUCUGCGGACUAACUGCAUUCACUUAUGUCCCAGCUAACAGUUCGGGAGGCCCUUGUUCUCUUGGACGAUUAACCAUGGGGGUUGUCCCUGGCCAUGCUCUAGUUCUAAAGACACCUGGGCCUGCCCGAGUCCAGAGAGCUCGGCGUGGCCUGCCUCUGGACGAAACCUGUGAUUCUAAGGUAAACCUGGUGUCUAAAUCUCAGGCUAUAGCCCUCGCUACCUCAUUGGUCAGAGUCCCAGGCCUGGCCUUAGAUGCAGAGCUCCAGCUUGCUAAAGUGGCCUGUGCCCUUGCCAAGUCCAUUAAUCUAACUUCCACUUUAAUCUCUGACUUGGCCUCGGAACUCACAGGGGUCCGAGAAGGGGUACUCCAAAAUCACACUGCAAUAGACUAUCUCCUCUUAAGGCAUAAUCAUGAGUGUGAGGAAUUUAAGGGUCUCUGCUGCUUUAACCUUUCUGAUCACAGUCAAAGUAUUGAAAAUAGACUGGCUAAGUUGCGUGACCUUGUCACUCAUAUAACGCAAAAUAGUGACAAUGAUUGGUGGGGUUCUUGGGGUUUUGGUAAUUGGUUUGAGUGGCUUAAAAGCAUUUUUACCUCCUUGCUAGUAGUAAUAGUGAUCGGUUUGCUCUUCUGCUGUGGUCUGCAGUUAGGAGUGCCUUGUUGUAAAAGUUGUCUGUCUGUCCUCCGACAGCCAACAGAAAUGUACCCCCUUAGGGCAGUCUCGCUACCAACAUCGGGUGGCCUACCCUUUAACAUUGUUUUAAGUAAUGAAUAUGAGAAAACUCAAUGAAAGGCCUUUGAGUAUUCUCAAAGGGGGGAUUGUUGGGGGGGGGCGGGCCCCGAAUAAUUGGUAAU
rnacentral:lncRNA from 1 species